AAGUGGGGAGUCACAGACCAGAAUGGGUCUGGCAGAGAGUAAAGGACUGGAUACCCUGAAUGGUAACUUCAGCGGAGUCAUCCGUGGGGGAGAUGGUUUAGCAAGUUCUUUGCCAAUUUAAACUGCCUCUCCAGCUGGGGAGCUGUGCCGGAAUAACUGCUCUACAAACCCUUUGCUAUGUACAAUAGCCUUUGUCCUCUAAUGCAGUCCUYAUGAGUUAGGUAAGUGGUGAAAUGAAGGAAACUGGGAGAGCAAGUGUGGCACUGUGGACCCAAUUCCAAGAUAAGGAAGUAGUGUAAAAGAAGUGGUGAGAGUCAGCCUUUAACAGUGCCUUCUACAGUGUUGUUACUUAGUUGAUUUAUACAAAAAUACCUGAAUUUCAGAAAUGAAUUGGAGCAUGGAUCCAUUAAGCUGAGGGUGUAAGAACCCCUCAGUGGAAGAUAUUACAGGUAUCUACUGCACAGUGACCACUGCUUGGCUUGCCGUUCAGUACUGGUCUCUGCUGCCUCCUGUUUUCCUCCCUGUCUAGCUAGAUCCAUCAGUUGUCUUAUUUAUACUCAGUUUAUGAGUUCUUCAGAGUGGAUUGCUUUGUUAUGAGCAUAUACUGUCCCCCACUUCUAUUUGAGCUCUUCAGAUGCUGCAUACCUAGUAGAAAUCUGUAAAAUCCAAAGAGUUAGAAGCUGACUUGUGCUAGAAAACCCUUCUAAAACCUCUAUUUUAGWUGUUAAUAUUUACUUUUAGCUGAAUUAUGCCCAUCCUUUAGGAAUACUAAUAAUGUCUUGUUCUUCAGAAUGUUGCAUGUCAAUUCUAUAUGUACUUUAUGCAAAGGAUUAAAAGGUGGUUGAUUAUCUGCUUUUAAUUUGCCAUUUUGCUUCUUG
rnacentral:lncRNA from 1 species